AUUGAACGCUGGCGGCAGGCCUAACACAUGCAAGUCGAGCGGAUGAAGGGAGCUUGCUCCUGGAUUCAGCGGCGGACGGGUGAGUAAUGCCUAGGAAUCUGCCUGGUAGUGGGGGAUAACGUCCGGAAACGGGCGCUAAUACCGCAUACGUCCUGAGUGAGAAAGUGGGGGAUCUUCGGACCUCACGCUAUCAGAUGAGCCUAGGUCGGAUUAGCUAGUUGUUGGGGUAAAGGCCUACCAAGGCGUCGAUCCGUAACUGGUCUGAGAGGAUGAUCAGUCACACUGGAACUGAGACACGGUCCAGACUCCUACGGGAGGCAGCAGUGGGGAACAUUGGACCCUGGGCUGAAGACUGCUCCAGACAUGCAGCGUGUGUGAAGAAGGUCUUCGGAUUGUAAAGCACUUUAAGUUGGGAGGAAGGGCAGUAAGUUAAUACCUUGCUGUUUUGACGUUACCAACAGAAUAAGCACCGGCUAACUUCGUG
rnacentral:rRNA from 1 species